rnacentral:rRNA from 1 species
UACGUAGGGCGCAAGCGUUGUCCGGAAUUAUUGGGCGUAAAGAGCUCGUAGGCGGUCUGUCGCGUCUGCCGUGAAAACCCGAGGCUUAACCUCGGGCUGGCGGUGGAUACGGGCAGACUAGAGGUAGGUAGGGGAGAAUGGAAUUCCUGGUGUAGCGGUGAAAUGCGCAGAUAUCAGGAGGAACACCGGUGGCGAAGGCGGUUCUCUGGGCCUUACCUGACACUGAGGAGCGAAAGCGUGGGGAGCGAACAGG